CUGAGAGCGGAGCAGAGAGCUUUUAAUAAGAGAGGAGAGCUCUCUGUUGGCGAAAGCUUCCUGGCCCAUUCACCGGCUUCUGAAAGCCGCUGUCAUGGCAACCGCGUAUGACUGGCAGAAAACAGACCGCAGUCUCUGGAGCCGGAGUCAAGCGAGACGCUUCAGAGCACACACACUCUCUCCUGGGCUGAUGAAGAGCUGUGACAUCGAGACGCCAGUGCCGCCACAGAGUGUGAGGGCCGUGAUGGCGCAUCGGGGGUAUCAACCCCUGCUUCCCACUGGAAACAAAUACCUGCAGCAGAAAUUUGGCAUGGCUUCAUAUGAUUUACACAGGGGGAUAGGACAAACAUAUACCCUACUUUGGUGAAGUCAGCCAAACCAACAAUCAACACGACUCCACCAAAGACCUAUAGUCACCUGACAAUCAAGCUGAAGAACCUAAAGGUGGCUGUUUUCUCUCUCACGUUUUCACGUUUUCAACUGCUCACAUUACGUCCACAGGGUGGCAGCAGAUGUAUCAGUGCCUAAAACCACCCAGUGAAGCCUCAAACUAUGAGAAAUGAAUAGUGCAGUGAAUAUAAGAAUGUUUUUAAAUCUCAACCUGAAUACUGUGUGGCAAUGUCCAAUCCUGUGUUAUUGCAUUGAGCUUGAAGAAGAUUUGGCAAUGACGAUUCAGAGGAAGAACAAUAUGCUCGUGGAGAAAAUAUCGCACAUCAUGAGGACAAGUGGAGGAGUUGACAACAGGAAUUAUUACGAUUCAAAAAGGUCGGUUGAGGUUGUGGUAGAACUAUCGAUGUAAAAGUACAUAUGAAAGUGAAGCAACAAGUAAUGGCGAGAAAUAAGGUGGCCCUUGACACUGAACACAGUCGUAAAGCCUGUGUUUACUCUUCAUAGCAGCCUUGGCGCGGAGAGGCGACAACUGGAGCUGCUCCGUAUUACCAAGGAGAAUCAAAUGAUCCUGUUCCGUUUCAGCCAGUGCAGCUCUCAUUAUAAUCUCAGGAGCUGGCAUAAGGGCUGGCUCAAAACUCUCAAAGUGAUGGACAGCAUUACACAUUACCCACAAUGCAGGACAAGCCAGCAAAAGGGACAAGAAAAACACGGCAAGAAGCGCAGUGAUGAUAAUGAAGAACAGAAGAUCAGCGCUGGUGCAAACAUACACAGUCCUGCAAGCAACAACGUCAAUGGCAAAGCAGAGUCUGGGUAAAAUGAAAAGAGGAAAGAAACCAGCAAGAAAGAAGGUUCAAGAAGAGAGAUACAGCAGGACAUAGUAACAUACCCUGAACCAAAUGCAACUGAGAAAUACAUCUCACAGGAUACACCUGAGAAUCCUGGUUACUGAAGAGGGAUAACAUGUUUUAUUCUUUUAGUAAACUUCUUCUUUCUUCACAUUAAAGAGACUCUUUGUGCCACUAUAGGCAGUUUUGAAAAGUACAUAUAUGUACAGAGAAACUGGACCUAAAUCUUGCAUGGCACUCUAAAAUAGAGAAGUAGUAGUUUUGUAUAGGCUGUGUACCGAGUUAAAUUCAUAUGUCUGUGGUUUAUGUAAUUGUCACAAACUGCAUGAUAACCAUUUGUAUUGUUUCUUUCACAGCACAAAACAACAAUAAAUAA